rnacentral:lncRNA from 1 species
AGGGUUUCAAUGUGGUACCCUAAUGACUGUUUGAUUGGAGCUUUAAUGGAGGUUUCGGGGGUUGCAGAAGCAAUUAUACUCUUAGGGUUUUCUUAUCUCUUUUUUAGGUUCUUAAAUCAUAUAAUUUCUCAUGUAUUAAUAGAUCAAAUUAGGUCUUAGUGAUUUAAUCAGAUUGAUUUGUUUUAGAAAAAUUUGUAUUAGAUUGAUUGUAAUUUGAUUUAGUUUUUUUUUAGAAUUUGGAUCUGAUUGUACUUGGUCCUAAUAGUAUCGUGUAAUGCAUUUGUGAAUUGAAUUUGGAAAUAUUUGAUGGCAUUUUCA